rnacentral:rRNA from 1 species
AUGUGCGAGCUCUUGAGGAUUUCACCUCCAAGAGUAGACUCUCAGAAGACUUGUCUUCCUUCUAGGAUUCCUCUAAAGCUGAAACUAGUUUGCAUGCCACUUCACACCAAGGAGCUACAAACAGGCAAACUGUUGGGGACUGGGACCGUGCAUGAUGGACUCUACUAUCUUGAUGAAGGGAGUGAUGAAGUUGCUUUUGCAUCAUGCUUGUCUCCCAGUCAAGAGCUACUACUACACCAUCGCAGGCUUGGGCAUCUCUCUUUUGCUGCAUUGUUUCGUAUUUACCCCUCUCUUUUCAAGUUGUGUCCUAGGGAGCUGCUUGUAUGUGAUGCUUGUGAAUUGGCUAAACAUACAAGAGGUUCAUAUCCUAGUAUAGGAUUAAGAAGUGCCAAACCAUUUGAAAUGAUUCACUCGGAUGUCUGGGGACCCUGUGAGGUUCGUUCGAUUUCUGGGCAUCGAUGGUUUGUAACUUUUAUCGAUUGCUUUAGUCGUUACACUUGG